rnacentral:tRNA from 1 species
GCGGGAGUAGCUCAGCCGGUAGAGCAUCUGCUUCCCAAGCAGAGGGUCGCGAGUUCGAGUCUCGUCUCCCGCUCCA